GACAGAGGGUGCAAACGUUGCUCGGAAUCACUGGGCGUAAAGGGCGCGUAGGCGGGGAUGUAAGUCGGGCGUGAAAUCCCCAGGCUCAACCUGGGAACUGCACUCGAAACUGCGUUUCUUGAGUAUCGGAGAGGAAAGCGGAAUUCCUGGUGUAGAGGUGAAAUUCGUAGAUAUCAGGAGGAACACCAGUGGCGAAGGCGGCUUUCUGGACGGUAACUGAGGCUGAGGCGCGAAAGCGUGGGGAGCAAGCAGG
rnacentral:rRNA from 1 species